UCGAGAGGCUUCGGCAAUGGGGGAAACCCUGACCCAGCAACGCCGCGUGAAGGAUGAAGUAUUUCGGUAUGUAAACUUCGAAAGAAUAGGAAGAAUAAAUGACGGUACUAUUUAUAAGGUCCGGCUAACUACGUGCCAGCAGCCGCGGUAAUACGUAGGGACCAAGCGUUGUUCGGAUUUACUGGGCGUAAAGGGCGCGUAGGCGGCAUGACAAGUCACUUGUGAAAUCUCUGGGCUUAACCCAGAACGGCCAAGUGAUACUGUCGCGCUAGAGUGCAGAAGGGGCAAUCGGAAUUCUUGGUGUAGCGGUGAAAUGCGUAGAUAUCAAGAGGAACACCUGAGGUGAAGACGGGUUGCUGGGCUGACACUGACGCUGAGGCGCGAAAGCCAGGGGAGCAAACGGGAUUAGAUACCCCCGUAGUCCCUGAGCGGGCUGGCAAGGCGCAU
rnacentral:rRNA from 1 species